GAUGAAGAACGUAGCGAAAUGCGAUAAGUAAUGUGAAUUGCAGAAUUCAGUGAAUCAUCGAAUCUUUGAACGCACAUUGCGCCCCUCGGUAUUCCGAGGGGCAUGCCCGUUCGAGCGUCAUUAUACCCCUCAAGCCUAGCUUGGUGUUGGGGCCUGCUGUUACCGGCAGCCCUUAAAAUCAGUGGCGGUGCCAUCUGGCUCUAAGCGUAGUAAUACUUCUCGCUACAGGGUCCCGGUGGAUGCUUGCCAUCAACCCCUAAUUUUCUAUGGUUGACCUCGGAUCGGGUAGGGAUACCCGCUGAACUUAAGCAUAUCAAUAAGCGGAGGA
rnacentral:misc_RNA from 1 species